UACAGAGACUGCAAGCGUUAUUCGGAUUCAUUGGGCGUAAAGGGUGCGUAGGCGGCGCGGUAAGUCGGGUGUGAAAUCUCAGGGCUCAACCCUGAAACUGCACUUGAUACUGCUCUGCUUGAGGACUGGAGAGGAGACUGGAAUUCACGGUGUAGCAGUGAAAUGCGUAGAUAUCGUGAGGAAGACCAGUGGCGAAGGCGGGUCUCUGGACAGUUCCUGACGCUGAGGCGCGAAGGCCAGGGGAGCAAACGGG
rnacentral:rRNA from 1 species